rnacentral:lncRNA from 1 species
UUUCUGAAUAACCUUGAGUUUGGAUUUCUGAUUCUAGAACUAUGUACACAGUGAGUGUAUGUGAUUCACCGGUGACUGUUUAAUGUGUUUCCCAAAGAGGGAAAUAGAAAGAGAGGAAGAAGGGAGAGGCAACUCUGCCUAGUGAAAAUGAACCAGAUGGUUAGAGAGACGCAUAAAACACUUUCAGGAGGCAGGAAAGAAGAAAAUGAUCAGAAGAGGAUCAAUAAGAGGCACUCAUCUCAUUCUGAACCACAUGUGCCAUGGGAUUGUGGACAAAGUCAAUGUCUUUGGUCUUGUUAAUAGUUGCCCUUGGGCCUCCCAGAAAAACCUUGAAGGCCUGAGUUCACAACUUUGCUGGAGAUUGACAGGUGGAAGAAGAUGUUCAAGUGAUGAACAUGAAGAGAAACAAAUCCCUUUAAGGAUGGAUGGCAUGAACCAGCUUCACCAGCAGCAAGGCAUUUCACAGUGUUUCACUAAUGUGGGAAUCUUGAAGCAUAGUGUUGACAGGUGCUAUGGCAAUCGCUCUCCUUGCCUGCCAAGACAAGGCCAAGAAAGGCACGAAGGAGACCCAACCUUGCUAAAACAUGGCAGAAAUGACCCUGGUAGACGCUGUUGGAGAACGCAUUGGUGCAGACCUGCUGAAGGGUUCUGAUCCACUGUCACGAGGCGUUGGUUCCUCUGCACCUAGGACUCUACCUCUUCCUCCCAGGUGGGGUAUGCAUCCAUUCAGGCAUGAAUUUAUUUGUCGCACAGCACUUCUUGAAAUGUAUGGAGGUGUCAGCUUUCAAUGGAAUUUGCUUCUGAGUAGUUCUACGGCCUGGGUUAGCCUCAUGUGCUGCCUUCCAGGAGUAGGAAUCCAGGAACAGCCUGGUCCCCCUGGGCAGGUGGAUGGCUUCACCCUGAUGCUCUACCUCAGUGACAUCUAGUGGCAAGAAGACAUGGCCAUCCACCGCGCUGCCAGCUUCCCACUGUGAGGGACGUGCUGGUGUUAUCUCUUACAGCCAGGGUGAACGCACAUUCAGAUCCGCCUGGGACAGACUGGGCCCAUAUCUAUUGUCCAGGCGUCAUUAUUAAUAGUGUCUGCUUCCACUCUUGAAAGCGUUAACAGAUUGGAUAAUGAAUUACACAGCCUACUUAAUGCCUUAUUGUAGUUCCCCCAUCUAUUAGGUGACUUAACACAUCACUUUGGGGUAAUGAGUUCAAGAAGAUUACUCCCCAUUGUGUAAAGUAAUAUUUAUCUUUAUCUAUCCUGAAAUUAUCCUUCAAGCAUUAUGGGAUUGUUUCCAGCUCUAACGCUAAGGCUGGGUGAACAAGCUCAUUUGAUAGAUUUUAGUCUUACCC